UACGGGGGGGGCAAGCGUUGUUCGGAAUUACUGGGCGUAAAGGGCUCGUAGGCGGCCAACUAAGUCCGACGUGAAAUCCCCAGGCUUAACCUGGGAACUGCGUCGGAUACUGGAUGGCUUGAAUCCGGGAGAGGGAUGCGGAAUUCCAGGUGUAGCGGUGAAAUGCGUAGAUAUCUGGAGGAACACCGGUGGCGAAGGCGGUUCUCUGGGACGGUACUGACGCUGAGACGCGAAAGCGUGGGGAGCGAACAGG
rnacentral:rRNA from 1 species